AGGAGGACCAGGAGGACCAGGAACACCAGGAGGAGGAGGAGAAGACAUAAUGAGUGACUGUGUCUACAUUUAUGGGAAGAGUUUGAUGGGGUAGAAAUGAUGCUUCUUUGGAGAAAGUUGUACUCAAAGAUUUACUCAUGUAGAUAUUCCUGUCUCUCUGCCAAUAAACUUUCAUCCACCCUUGGUUGUGCACAAGGCAAGGAGACCAACCUGAGAGAGACUACAUGAAUGAAAUUGGAAUCAAGUGAGAAAAAGAUGGUAGGCUUAUACUUUGGCAUUGACCUCUAACAUAUUUGGU